rnacentral:rRNA from 1 species
AUUGAACGCUGGCGGCAGGCUUAACACAUGCAAGUCGAGCGGGGGAAGGUAGCUUGCUACCGGACCUAGCGGCGGACGGGUGAGUAAUGCUUAGGAAUCUGCCUAUUAGUGGGGGACAACAUCUCGAAAGGGAUGCUAAUACCGCAUACGUCCUACGGGAGAAAGCAGGGGAUCUUCGGACCUUGCGCUAAUAGAUGAGCCUAAGUCGGAUUAGCUAGUUGGUGGGGUAAAGGCCUACCAAGGCGACGAUCUGUAGCGGGUCUGAGAGGAUGAUCCGCCACACUGGGACUGAGACACGGCCCAGACUCCUACGGGAGGCAGCAGUGGGGAAUAUUGGACAAUGGGGGGAACCCUGAUCCAGCCAUGCCGCGUGUGUGAAGAAGGCCUUAUGGUUGUAAAGCACUUUAAGCGAGGAGGAGGCUACUUUAGUUAAUACCUAGAGAUAGUGGACGUUACUCGCAGAAUAAGCACCGGCUAACUCUGUGCCGGCGGCCGCGGUAAUACAGAGGGUGCGAGCGUUAAUCGGAUUUACUGGGCGUAAAGCGUGCGUAGGCGGCUUAUUAAGUCGGAUGUGAAAUCCCCGAGCUUAACUUGGGAAUUGCAUUCGAUACUGGUGAGCUAGAGUAUGGGAGAGGAUGGUAGAAUUCCAGGUGUAGCGGUGAAAUGCGUAGAGAUCUGGAGGAAUACCGAUGGC